GAUGAAGAACGUAGCAAAAUGCGAUACUUGGUGUGAAUUGCAGAAUCCCGUGAACCAUCGAGUUUUUGAACGCAAGUUGCGCCCGAAGCCUUUUGGUCGAGGGCACGUCUGCCUGGGCGUCACGCAUCGCGUCGCCCCCCACAAUUCUCCGUAAAAGGAACAUGUGUUUUGGGGGCGGAUAUUGGUCUCCCGUGCUCAUGGCGUGGUUGGCCGAAAUAGGAGUCCUUUCGAUGGACGCACGAACUAGUGGUGGUCGUAAAAACCCUCGUCUUUUGUUUCGUGCUGUUGCUCGCAAGGUAAACUCUUUAAAAACCCCAAUGUGUCGUCUCUUGACGACGCUUCGACCGCGACCCCAGGUCAGGCGGGACUACCCGCUGAGUUUAAGCAUAUCAAUAAGCGGAGGA
rnacentral:misc_RNA from 1 species